UUCCACUAUGCCUCUAAGUUUUCCACCUUCCGGCAGCUUCGAAGCAAAUUCCUCCGCCGCCCUGUCCACAUCGUCCGCCACUUUUUCCACCGCUUCCGCCACCUUCUCCACCGUCUCCGCCGCAAGUGAAACUUGCUUUGUUACUGUCAAUAAUCUUGCUGUUAUCAGAGGUACUGUUACACCUAAUCCCACAGCCCAGCUAACCCACG
rnacentral:misc_RNA from 1 species